rnacentral:rRNA from 1 species
CAGUCGCCACGGUAAUACGUAGGGUGCGAGUGUUAAUCGGAAUUACUGGGCGUAAAGCGUGCGCAGGCGGUUGUGUAAGACAGGUGCGAAAUCCCCGGGCUUAACCUGGGAACUGCGCUUGUGACUGCACAGCUAGAGUAUGGCAGAGGGGGGUGGAAUUCCACGUGUAGCAGUGAAAUGCGUAGAGAUGUGGAGGAACACCAACGGCGAAAGCACUCUGCUGGGCCGACACUGACACUGAGAGACGAAAGCUAGGGGAGCAAAUGGGAUUAGAUACCCGCGUAGUCCCUGUCUCUUAUAC